rnacentral:rRNA from 1 species
UACGGGGGGGGCAAGCGUUGUUCGGAAUUACUGGGCGUAAAGGGCUCGUAGGCGGCCAACUAAGUCAGACGUGAAAUCCCUCGGCUUAACCGGGGAACUGCGUCUGAUACUGGAUGGCUUGAGGUUGGGAGAGGGAUGCGGAAUUCCAGGUGUAGCGGUGAAAUGCGUAGAUAUCUGGAGGAACACCGGUGGCGAAGGCGGAUCUCUGGGCCUGUCCUGACGCUGAGGCGCGAAAGCUAGGGGAGCGAACAGG